ensembl:lncRNA
CAGGAACAUAACAAAAAGCAAACUAAAAGUAAGUUUAAAACAAGACAUAAACAUGGCACAAUUGACAUUGCUCUGAAAGGAAGUGGAAGACUUUGUGGUGCGUGAUCUAAUGAUAAACUUUAAAAGUUGUCCAUAAACACAGAAGAGGAGAAGUGACCUUUCUGCUGUGUUGUGAUUUCACAUCAAUCUUGUGACCUGUCCAGCUCUAACUAAUGCCAUUGUGAUAUUAUAUUAAUCUGUUUUGAAAGAAUAACCAGCAUUAGUGGGAGGCACCAAAUUACCAAUGUCUGGAAACUCACCUGUGUCUGUGCCAUUCCUUUAGUUUUGUUUUACUGAACUAUCACACCUCACUAAACAUGCUGUGAUGUAUGAAGACGUCCAGACACUCCCGCAGAAUUUUUAACAUGUUCAAACGCUUGAGUCUGAUGCUGCUGCUGCUGUGCCAGUUCAGUUACAGCGGAUCCAUCACUAGAUCUGUGAAAGGAAUAAAGGGAGGCAACGCCACGCUGUCAUGUCAAUUUGAAGCCAAAGACAUUCAUUAUAUUGAUUUAAGCAGGUUAACAAGCAUCCUUUCUUGUCAGAAUGAAGAAUGUGAAAGUGAAAGUGAAAGUCAGAAUGGGAGAGUAUUUAAAACAGGAUCAUGUGCCGUGAUUAUCAAGAAUCUGAGACUGAGUGAUGCUGGGAAAUACAUUUUAAGAGUCUAUUACACUAAUACUCAGGCAGAAGUGAAGCGUCAAAUCAUGACAUACCGACUUCAUUUUCAGGAUGAGAUUUCAGUGAAGGAAGGGGCGGAGCUGAAGUUGGACGUUCUGUUGCCCAAUGCUUAUAAAGUAGUGCACUGGACCAAAAGAAGCACAGGACGGAAGGAGGACUGGAAUAGAAGCCUUGGGGUCAGAAGUGAUCGAAUGACCAUCAGAGAUGGAAACCUAAUUAUUAAUAAUUUUACAGCCACUGACGCAGGAACAUAUGAGGUUCUGGACACUGUGGGAGAAAUCCUGAUCAUGGUGACUGUCACAGAAUCAAAGAGAAAGCUGGAAACAAAUGAUGACAAACCUAAUGCUCUUUGGAUUUGUCUUUUGGCUUUUGUACUGACUGUAUGUCUGUGUUUUUGGUUCUGGUGGUUCUGGAAGUGUUAUCGUUUCGAGUCAUCAAUAAAAUAUCAGCGUCUGCACAGAAAUGUGGAACAUGGAUCAAAAGGGUCUCAAUUCAAUAAACUGUAAAAGUGUCCCAGAACAUCAGCAUCACUGGUUACUUGAAGUCACUUACAAACUAAAGAGCCACUGCAUCAAAGAUUCAGAACACAAUCUGUGCUGAAAUGUGCUCCUCAGACUUAGACUGAAAUUACAUUCGUCUUCUAUAUUACCUCGCUGUAAAUGUGAAGUUUCUGAUCAUUAAAUACAUGCAAAUCUAUGUUGUCAUGUGUUAAUGUAUCCUGGUUUAUGAUGUCAGUGAUUGUUUUUCCAGCUUAAUUUUAGCAUUUAAUUUAUAUAGGGUACAGUAAAUAUUGUUAAUUCAUCAAAAGCAUGUGCCAGAAGCUUUUCAUAGAGCUUAACUUAUAUAUAAAAAAGGAAUAUUCAUAAUCAUAAACUCUCAAAUCACUGCACUAUAAGCCAAGUGUCUAAUGUAGACGUACUGUACAUCCAGCAGGCUAUUAAAAACUACAUUAGGAAAUCAUUUAAUACGGUAAAUCUAGGGAGGGGUGCAACUCUUGAACUGGUAUGAGGCUCUUGAAAGGAUCUAUUCUGAUAAGAUUUAAAUGAUGACGUGUUUUAAACUCUAAAGAAGAAUUUAGAAAUGACGUUUCUUCUGUUUGUGGCUUCAGAUAAGUCACGCGAAAUGUUCAGAUCUAACAGCUUAUCUGAGAUCAGAUUUUACUGUCUGCUUCAUCAUGAUCACGAAGAAACAGAAAACAGACCUUCCUUUAUAAUUCUUAAAUUCAUAUGCAAGUUAUUCGACAAAUAAUUCACAAAAUCAUGUCAAAUCAGAAUCAUUUUCCGACAGCUCAGUGUGCUUUAAAAGAAUAGCCACUAAUGAUGCAUCACACUAUUCUUUAGCAGGAGGCACUAAAUAUUCCAUGUUACUUUCAGUUUUGUUUUAACUCAACUCUUGCUAAACCUGCUGGUUUGCAAAACAUUAAGACUCAAGUAAAAUGUUCACUAUCUAUGUUUUAAUAAGUGGUUCAACGGAUCACAAAUCUCAUGGUUUGGAUCACAUUACAGUUUUUGACCCACAGAUCGAGUCAUUUUUUGGAUUAGCAAGAAAAUAAAAUUAUUUCAGUUUAACUUGCUUCA